rnacentral:rRNA from 1 species
UACGUAGGGUGCAAGCGUUGUCCGGAAUUAUUGGGCGUAAAGAGCUCGUAGGCGGUUUGUCGCGUCUGCUGUGAAAACUCGGGGCUUAACCCCGGGCCUGCAGUGGGUACGGGCAGACUAGAGUGCGGUAGGGGAGACUGGAAUUCCUGGUGUAGCGGUGAAAUGCGUAGAUAUUGGGAGGAACACCAGUGGCGAAGGCGGCUACCUGGACCGGUUCUGGCGCUGAGGCGCGAAAGCGUGGGUAGCAAACAGG